GUGUUAGCAGUGGAAAAUGCCAUCGCCAAGAAUUUUAACAGGUAGCAUGAAAUAGUCAGAGGGAGGAGGGAGAAACAAGCCCUGAAUCGUCCAAGGUAGAGUUUUUAGCAAAGGUCUGAGCAAGGAGUUCAGCUUUAGAGACAUGUGUUAGCAGUGGAAAAUGCCAUUGCCAAGAAUUUUAACAGGUAGCAUGAAAUAGUCAGAGGGUGGAGGAGAGGGAGAAACAAGCCCUGAAUCUUCCAAGGUAGAGUUUUUAGCAAAGGUCUGAGCAAGGAGUUCAGCUUUAGAGACGUGUUAGCAGUGGAAAAUGCCAUCGCCAAGAAUUUUAACAGGUAGCAUGAAAUAGUCAGAGGGUGGAGGA